UACAUAGGGGGCAAGCGUUAUCCGGAAUUAUUGGGCGUAAAGGGUGCGUAGACGGUUAUGUAAGUCUUUGGUGAAAGUGCUAGGCUUAACCUAGUGAUGCCAAGGAAACUGUGUAACUUGAGUGUGGUAGAGGCAAGUGGAAUUCCAUGUGUAGAGGUAAAAUUCGUAAAUAUAUGGAGGAACACCAGUGGCGAAGGCGGCUUGCUGGGCCAUUACUGACGUUGAGGCACGAAAGCGUGGGGAGCAAACAGG
rnacentral:rRNA from 1 species